rnacentral:lncRNA from 1 species
CAUUUUCUCCUGGGUGGAUAUUUGGGUGAUUUUCCGGUUUUUGUUAUGAGCCACAGCUCUGCUAUGAAAAUUCGUGUGCCUCUCUCUGGAUGUCCAUUGUGACAGAAUGUCUCCAGGGAGGAUAUAAUGGAAUUUCUGGACCAUUGAGGUCACAGGACGAGGAGAAAGAAAGAGGUACUAGAUGAGCUAAGGUCCUUUCAGCCAUGAGACCCUCUCCCCCAACCUCAUCUCUCAGAGGGGCUGC